rnacentral:rRNA from 1 species
ACUCCUGCGGGAGGCAGCAGUGGGGAAUAUUGGACAAUGGGCGCAAGCCUGAUCCAGCCAUGCCGCGUGAGUGAUGAAGGCCCUAGGGUUGUAAAGCUCUUUCACCGGAGAAGAUAAUGACGGUAUCCGGAGAAGAAGCCCCGGCUAACUUCGUGCCAGCAGCCGCGGUAAUACGAAGGGGGCUAGCGUUGUUCGGAAUUACUGGGCGUAAAGCGCACGUAGGCGGAUCGAUCAGUCAGGGGUGAAAUCCCAGGGCUCAACCCUGGAACUGCCUUUGAUACUGUCGAUCUGGAGUAUGGAAGAGGUGAGUGGAAUUCCGAGUGUAGAGGUGAAAUUCGUAGAUAUUCGGAGGAACACCAGUGGCGAAGGCGGCUCACUGGUCCAUUACUGACGCUGAGGUGCGAAAGCGUGGGGAGCAAACAGGAUUAGAAACCCUAGUAGUCCCA